rnacentral:rRNA from 1 species
UACAGAGGGGGCAAGCGUUGUUCGGAAUUACUGGGCGUAAAGGGCGCGUAGGCGGCCGCCUAAGUCAGACGUGAAAUCCCUCGGCUCAACCGGGGGAACUGCGUCUGAUACUGGGUGGCUUGAAUUCGGGAGAGGGAUGCGGAAUUCCAGGUGUGGCGGUGAAAUGCGUAGAUAUCUGGAGGAACACCGGUGGCGAAGGCGGCAUCCUGGACCGAGAUUGACGCUGAGGCGCGAAAGCCAGGGGAGCAAACGGG